rnacentral:rRNA from 1 species
UACGGAGGGUGCGAGCGUUGUCCGGAAUCACUGGGCGUAAAGGGCGCGUAGGUGGCGCGGGCAGUCAACGGUGAAAGUUCGGGGCUCAACCCUGAAUCGGCCGUCGAUACUCCCGGGCUUGAGCACUGUAGAGGCAGAUGGAAUUCCGGGUGUAGCGGUGGAAUGCGUAGAGAUCCGGAAGAACACCGGUGGCGAAGGCGGU